GAUGAACGCUAGCGGCAGGCUUAACACAUGCAAGUCGAGGGGUAUAGGGAGCUUGCUUCCUAGAGACCGGCGCACGGGUGCGUAACGCGUAUGCAAUCUACCUUUUGCAGAGGGAUAGCCCAGAGAAAUUUGGAUUAAUACCUCAUAGUAUAGCAGUUUCGCAUGAAACCACUAUUAAAGUCACAACGGCAAAAGAUGAGCAUGCGUCCCAUUAGCUUGUUGGUAAGGUAACGGCUUACCAAGGCAACGAUGGGUAGGGGUCCGUGAGAGGGAGAUCCCCCACACUGGUACUGAGACACGGACCAGACUCCUACGGGAGGCAGCAGUGAGGAAUAUUGGACAAUGGGCGCAAGCCUGAUCCAGCCAUGCCGCGUGCAGGAUGACGGUCCUAUGGAUUGUAAACUGCUUUUUGUACAGGAAGAAACACUGGUUCGUGAACCGGCUUGACGGACUGUAAGAAUAAGGAUCGGCUAACUCCGUGCC
rnacentral:rRNA from 1 species